rnacentral:rRNA from 1 species
UAGUAUUCAAUUGUCAGAGGUGAAAUNCUUGGAUUUAUUGAAGACUAACUACUGCGAAAGCAUUUGCCAAGGAUGUUUUCAUUAAUCAAGAACGAAAGUUAGGGGAUCAAAGACGAUCAGAUACCGUCGUAGUCUUAACCAUAAACUAUGCCGACUAGGGAUCGGAUGAUGUUAAUUUUUUAAUGACUCA